AGUGUCCGGCGCCCCCUUCCCUUCGCCAGGCCCGUUUGGCGCCUUCACUCGGGAAGACGUCGGCCAGGACUUUGCGCUUUGGAGACGUCUUACUUCGGCAGCACUCGCACACUGCGAGAUCCGACACGGGCAGCGGGGACCUAGGGAGCCGGGGACGCUGCCUGUCGGGUACGGUUCCGCAGCUACCGCAGCCCCGUGGGCCAUGAGUUCUUCCCAUCAGACUCAUAGAGUUCAAGGCACACUGAAGAUAUGCUUCCAGGGGCUUGCAAUGUGUGUUGUCUUCGAGCUGGCAAAGGAGUCCCUGAUGGAAACAGCACUGUGAAUCUACUGGCUCCUGAUUCGUCCACACCCUAGUUAGCAGGAAACAAGUCUUUACGGAUGAUCUCACCGCUCACUGAGGCAGAGGACCACCUGAUGAAAGCUAGGCCUCUUUCACGUUCAGUAUGAAGUAAUGAGGGACACCCUAUUAAUCUCCAGGUACGAGCAUGAGGAACAUCAGCUGUAGGAUAUUUUGUUUAAAAACUAGGUUUUCCUUGGCAAAGAUCUUCAAAAGAUCUGUUUGGAGGUAAGUAAAAAGAGCAAUCUUCUCUAAAAUUUUAUGAUCCCAGGUAAAUACCAGGAGAACAAAAAUGCAGAAUAUGCCUUUUCAAAUUUCUCAUAUUCAACAUCAAAAAAGCUUUAUUAAUAAGUAGCAAGUGGUAUACCUAGGAAUCCAACUUACAAGGGAUGUGAAGGACCUCUUCAAGGAGGGCUACAAACCACUGCUCAACAAAAUAAAAGAGGAUAGAAACAAAUGGAAGAACAUUCUAUGCUCAUGGAUAGGAAGAAUCAAUAUCAUGAAAAUGGCCAUACUGCCCAGGGUAAUUUAUAGAUUCAAUGCCAUCCCCAUCAAGCUACCAAUGACUUUCUUCACAGAAUUGGAAAAAACUACUGUAAAGUUCAUAUGGAACCAAAAAAGAGCCCACGUUGCCAAGUCAAUCCUAAGCCAAACGAACAAAGCUGGAGUACCUGACUUCAAACUAUACUAUAACGCUACAGUAACCAAAACAGCAUGGUACUGGUACCAAAACAGAUAUACAGACCAAUGGAACAGAACAGAGCCCUCAGAAAUAAUACCACACAUCUACAACUAUCUGAUCUUUGACAAACCUGACAAAAACAAGAAAUGGGGAAAGGAUUCCCUAUUUAACAAAUGGUGCUGGGAAAACUUGGCUAGCCAUAGGUAGAAAGCUGAAACUGGAUCUCUUCCUUACACCUUAUACAAAAAUUAAUUCAAGAUGGAUUAAAGACUUAAAUGUUAGAC
rnacentral:lncRNA from 1 species